rnacentral:rRNA from 1 species
CGUCAAGUCAUCACUGGCCCUUACGGGCCUGGGCUACACACGUGCUACAAGUGGUCGGUACGAAAGGGUUGCCAAGCCGCGAGGUGGAGCUAAUCCCAUAAAACCGAUCGUAGUCCGGAUCGCAGUCUGCAACUCGACUGCGUGAAGUCGGAAUCGCUAGUAAUCGUGAAUCAGAAUGUCACGGUGAAUACGUUCCCGGGCCUU